rnacentral:rRNA from 1 species
AUGAAAACUACGUAUGGGAAACUGCAGCAGAAGAGCAGCAGGAAGCAACAUUGUAAUCAGGUAGAUGAGAAUGAUACAAGCGUGCAGCAAGACACUUCAAUAUUCAGAAAGAGAAGUUACUUCUUUCAGCUGCCAUACUGGGAAACACUUCUAUUGCGUCAUAAUCUGGAUCCUAUGCACAUAGAGAAGAAUGUGUUUGAGAAUAUUGCCCAUGCCCUUCUGAAUGUUAGUAAAAGAUCAAAGGAUAAUCUAAAUGCACGUCUUGACCUACAAAAAUUGAAUAUACGCCAAGACCAACAUCCAGAUUUAACUAGGAGCAGGGGCGAAUCUACUAGGGGGGCUUUGACAAGCUUGAGCCCCCCCUCUAGAACUGAAAAAGGUUUUUUUACUACUAGUCUCAAGGCCCAAAUCAGCCACAUGCCAGCCCAACCCAACAUACAUUUGCAUGAUACAGACUUGCAUAAACUUUGA